GUGAACGUUACCAAACUGUUGCCUCGGCGGGAUCUCUGCCCCGGGUGCGUCGCAGCCCCGGACCAAGGCGCCCGCCGGAGGACCAACCAAAACUCUUAUUGUAUACCCCCUCGCGGGUUUUUUACUAUCUGAGCCAUCUCGGCGCCCCUCGUGGGCGUUUCGAAAAUGAAUCAAAACUUUCAACAACGGAUCUCUUGGUUCUGGCAUCGAUGAAGAACGCAGCGAAAUGCGAUAAGUAAUGUGAAUUGCAGAAUUCAGUGAAUCAUCGAAUCUUUGAACGCACAUUGCGCCCGCCAGUAUUCUGGCGGGCAUGCCUGUCCGAGCGUCAUUUCAACCCUCGAACCCCUCCGGGGGGUCGGCGUUGGGGAUCGGCCCUUUACGGGGCCGGCCCCGAAAUACAGUGGCGGUCUCGCCGCAGCCUCUCCUGCGCAGUAGUUUGCACACUCGCAUCGGGAGCGCGGCGCGUCCACAGCCGUUAAACACCCCAAACUUCUGAAAUGUUGACCUCGGAUCAGGUAGGAAUACCCGCUGAACUUAAGCAUAUCAAUAAG
rnacentral:rRNA from 1 species